rnacentral:rRNA from 1 species
GAUGAACGCUGGCGGCGUGCCUAAUACAUGCAAGUCGAGCGAACAGACGAGGAGCUUGCUCCUCUGACGUUAGCGGCGGACGGGUGAGUAACACGUGGAUAACCUACCUAUAAGACUGGGAUAACUUCGGGAAACCGGAGCUAAUACCGGAUAACAUGUUGAACCGCAUGGUUCAACAGUGAAAGACGGUCUUGCUGUCACUUAUAGAUGGAUCCGCGCCGCAUUAGCUAGUUGGUAAGGUAACGGCUUACCAAGGCAACGAUGCGUAGCCGACCUGAGAGGGUGAUCGGCCACACUGGAACUGAGACACGGUCCAGACUCCUACGGGAGGCAGCAGUAGGGAAUCUUCCGCAAUGGGCGAAAUCCUGACGGAGCAACGCCGCGUGAGUGAAGAGGGUCUUCGGAUCGUAAAACUCUGUUAUUAGGGAAGAACAAAUGUGUAAGUAACUAUGCACGUCUUGACGGUACCUAAUCAGAAAGCCACGGCUAACUACGUG